rnacentral:rRNA from 1 species
GCCUUCAUGAAGCUGGAAUUGCUAGUAAUGGCAGGUCAGCAUACUGCCGUGAAUACGUUCCCGGGCCUUGUACACACCGCCCGUCACACCAUGAGAGUUGGGAAUACCCGAAGCCUGUGAGCUAACUUUUAGAGGCAGCAGUCGAAGGUAGAAUCAAUGAUUGGGGUGAAGUCGUAACAAGGUAGC